UACGUAGGUGGCAAGCGUUGUCCGGAAUCACUGGGCGUAAAGCGCGCGCAGGCGGCGAUCUACGUCUGGGGUGAAAGCCCGGAGCUCAACUCCGGGACUGCCUUGGAUACGGGAUCGCUUGAGGAUUGGAGAGGCAAGGGGAAUUCCACGUGUAGCGGUGAAAUGCGUAGAGAUGUGGAGGAACACCAGUGGCGAAGGCGACUCUCUGGCCUGUAACUGACGCUGAGGCGCGAAAGCGUGGGGAGCAAACAGG
rnacentral:rRNA from 1 species